rnacentral:rRNA from 1 species
AGCUAACGCGUGAAACACUCCGCCUGGGGAGUACGGUCGCAAGACCGAAACUCAAAGGAAUUGACGGGGGCCUGCACAAGCGGUGGAGCAUGUGGAUUAAUUCGAUGCAACGCGAAAAACCUUACCUACCCUUGACAUGGUCGGAAUCCCGCUGAGAGGUGGGAGUGCUCGAAAGAGAACCGGCGCACAGGUGCUGCAUGGCUGUCGUCAGCUCGUGUCGUGAGAUGUUGGGUUAAGUCCCGCAACGAGCGCAACCCUUGUCCUUAGUUGCUACGCAAGAGCACUCUAAGGAGACUGCCGGUGACAAACCGGAGGAAGGUGGGGAUGACGUCAAGUCCUCAUGGCCCUUAUGGGUAGGGCUUCACACGUCAUACAAUGGUCGGAACAGAGGGUUGCCAACCCGCGAGGGGGAGCUAAUCCCAGAAAACCGAUCGUAGUCCGGAUUGCACUCUGCAACUCGGGAACAUGAAGUAGAAAUCGCUAGUAAUCGCGGAUCAGCAUGCCGCGGUGAAUAUGUACCCGGGCCCUGUACACACCGCCCGUCACACCCUGGGAAUUGGUUU